AUGGGAAAGAUCUACCUUCUGGAAGCUACUACUACGUGGUGCUUGGAAAGGUGAGGAUGGGGGACUGACCCCAGGAAAUUGCUCGAAACUCCGCAUCUGGUGGGAUUUCCAGAAAAGUCAGUGGGAGACGGGAGGUUUGGAGGCCCCGGGUUAGAAAGGUUUGUCAGUCUAGGGAAUGAGGAGAAUCAGAAUAAAACUAGGGCAGCAGGCUGUCCGCCUUUGGUUGGGGGAGGGAGGCCUCGAAAAAUCAGGGUCCCGGCUCUCUAACCUGUCUUUGUCGCAGGUCUCACGUUUGUGGGGAGGGGGUUUACCAAGCCCUGCGCCAUGCGCAGUGGCCCCCACCCGUGACUGCGCAUCUGGAAGCGCAGUGCGCCCUGGGUCUCUGGCCUAGGACGAGCACCGCCCUUCUUAUUACAUAACUGAGGGCAUGGCACGCGCCUUCUCGGCCCUUCCUUGCAACCCUACCUUCUUGCUCCCCAGGGCCCAUAGAGCUGGGGAGGGUCUGACUGGGUAGCAGUGAAGGACUGCAAUCCCUGGGAGGGCUAACUCUUGUCUAGUUACUGGCAGGAGCCAAGCUUGAGGACAAAAGUGGUGGUUUUCUAGCCUCAUCUUGGGGAAGAGGCUACAGAACAUCCUUCUGAGUGCCCCAUACCACCUAUGGCCCCUAGGGCCUCUCUGGUGGAGGGGGUGGCACCCUUCUUUCACUCAUGUCCCAUCUGAUUUUUGAGAGGAUGUUUCUGAAGGAAAAGAUGUGAUGAUUAUCGGGGGCUUGGUUGGGAGGUAGUUUUGACAGUUUACUCCCCUUGUCACUGGCUUCCCCUCUUUUCCCUGGGUGGGUUUAUGAUCUUUCUGGACUCCUCUGAUGAGCUGCCAUUUUGGAGCCAUUUCUGCUGGUCUCCGACAUGGUGGCGUUGGUUUUUCUGUCCUGCUGUGCCAGUUCCGCAGAGUGGGCGGGGGGCGGGGGCUAUGACGGAGGAGGGGAAGGGGGGGCAAAAGCACAGCAGAGGCAGGCACAGUGGUGGCUGCCGCAAUGAAGGUGGCUCUAGGGGCAGAGCCGCCUAGUCCCACCCUUGGACACAGUCCUGGGUGGGGAUUCAGGUGGAAGGCGUCUGGGUAGGGGUUCAACACCUGGGCCCGGCUUUGCCAGAGCGUGGGUUUCCCAUGUCCUCAUCAGCCUGGUGCUUGGAGUAGUUCGGAAAAGCUGAGUGUCUGAAUGAGAGUGGAGGCAGAGGCUCGGCAGCUCAUCUCAGACGUGUCAGACCCGUGGUUUGUGUUCCCCAAAUAGGCUCUGUCUCCAGCAGCCUCCCUGUGGGGACAGGGAAGUGAGGUCCAUGGCAGCUUUGAGGAUCUGUUCGGAUGGUCCUGCCUGCUUACUGUUUUUCUUCUCUUUCUCCUCCAUGCCCCCUGCCAGUGCCAUGGUUCCAGCUGUAGUCCUCUUGUGAGGCUCCCCGCUGCCCGUUCCCCCUCUCUCCAGGCCCUUCUGCGUGCAGCGGCCAUCUUGUCUUUCUUGCUCAGAAACUUAAAAUGGUUUCUCAUAAUUCCCAGAGUAAAAUUCCUUCCCUUUAGCGUGAUGCUCAAUGCUGGCCGUAACUGGCCUUAGGUUUCCUGUACAGUCUUACCUCUCUCAGUUUCUUUUGGUGGACCAUAGGUUCCAACAAAACCAGGCAACUUCCUUUUCCUAUCUGUUUUCACCAGUGAUGUUUUCCAUGCCUCUUCUCCUCUGCAUCCACCUGUGGCAGUCUCACUUUCUCCGUGGACCUCUCCUGAUUUCCUUGGCAAGAAGCAGUUCUCAUAACCACCCCUGCCCUUUCAGCCAAACUUCCAUACAGUCUGUCCCUUUUUAUGGUACUUUUGUUGUGUUAUGAUUAUUUGUGUAUAAGUCUUAUGUCACCUAUCAGAUUGGGAGCUCCAGGAGGGAGGCUAGAGAAAGGAGAAGGAAAACAAAUACCUAUUUGGUGCCUUCUGUUUGACAGAUACCAUGUUAUACACUUUCCCUGCAGUUACUUCAUUUACUCCUUUCCACAGCCCUGUGGGGAGCAUCCCAUGUCUAGUAAGUGGCCUGGUCAUGACUAGAGCCCUGGUCUUCCAAAGCCUUUACAUUUUUCCUCUCUGAAUUACUGGUGUUUACAAGAUGGCUGUUAUGAAGUAGAUCCCCAAAAUUUGUCUAUUUAAGGAAUUUUGUAAGUCCCUAAUGCUCUGAGGGAGUUUGGGUGGUCAAUCUUGUGUCCAUGGUCUGGGUCCCUCAGCUGUUCCUUGACACUGUCAUUAACUUUCUCCUCUUCCUUUGUGGUCAGGUUCACUCAAGAUGAUGGCUUUUUUCUUGUAGCUGAAAUUGAUGGAUUAACUGACUCAGUUAUCCUGGUUGCCUUCCUCGUACAAGAGGAGGGAGAGGUGGAGUGGGAUACAGCAUCUUCAAAGCCAGAAUAAGCUCCAGAAUUAGAGAGCAGGGAGCAGAGACACUGGACUUGAACAGACCUAGGUUUUCAUUGUGAUCCUUCUUCUUAGCUGAGUGACUUUAGACAAGUCAUAUGAUUUAAGUUUUCAGUGAGAUGGAGCUACUACAACUGUUAUACAGAAAUGCCUAAUAUAUUGGCAGCAAAUAGGUUCCCAUCCCUACCCAGUGGUUUAUCAGGGACUUAAAAUGGGAGCAUAGCAGGGGGCUAGAGAAGAAAUGGGGGAGACAGGAGCUCCUGUGCCCUAAGUGGUAUCACAGCAGGGGCGCAGAGGAGGUAACCUAGGCGUUACGCCCUUCAAGCCUGCAAGGUGUACUGUCCCCCACCUGCCAUAAAUACCCCUUUACUUCUGCAUCAGGAACAUGCCAUGGCAUCUGAGUGGUGGGGGCUGGUGACGGCAGAGGGAGGGUCAGUGAGCUUUCCUGGGAGCCUUUUGAUGCCAGGUUAGUUUCCCUUCUUUCUGAAUCUCAGCAGUGGCUGCCUGCUUCCCUGACGCUGCUGAGUCCCACGGGAGGGGAGCUGGGCACCCUGAAGCCCCUCGUUACCAAUUCGGGGGCCGCGGAGCAGAGUGUGACGACAGCCAGUGAGUCGUCAGUCGACGGCAAUGGGGACCCUGGUGACGGCUGCUUUGUUGUUUUUUUUCCUCUUUGGAAGAUGACUCAGUGUAUCGGGAGCCGGGAGAUGGAGCUCUCAGCAGAGUGGCCAGGAUGUUCUGUCAACAUGAAAGCUACAAAAACAGCUCGGGGCUCUGAGCUGAUCCUUAGCCUGGGGUCAUUUUCAGGGAGGGCUGGACAGAGAAGGCGGCCACCGCCCGGGCAUCAGGAUGGGAGCGACACCAGAGGACUCAGGAGAGUGCAGCUUGCUCUGUGAGUGGGUGACAACCUCUUGGCGACUCAGGCUCAGCUGAGGAUGGUGCCAGUGUGCCGGAGACAGCCGUCAUACUGCCGGAUAGAGUGGCUCACUUGCAUGUAUUUGGAACAAAAAAAGGAGAUGCCUGGCAGCCCCGCUCUCUGCAGUAAGUAUUCAUCUGCAUUCUUUUACAUUCCUUUAUUUCUUCGAACAUCAGAAAUGGGUAGAUGUUUAUUGAGCCCAGCCACCUGCUAUGCCUUCUCCAUUCUUCUCCCACACACCCCACCCUUAGUCCUCCAGAAGAGAGGACUAGAUUGAUUUUCUCAUGCUACUGGAUAGCUGCAGAGAAGCUAGAAUUUGCUGUUCAGCCCCCACACAUCCCCCUCACAUUUGGGAGAAGUUGAUUUUCCCUAAAAUGGAGCCAACAGCCUGUGUCCCUCAGUGUGGAGUGUUAAUGGGCUGCCUGGAAGGACCCUGUGUGCCCUCACGGCCCCCAGCCGGGAAGUGAGGCUCCCCAUUGGCUGGCAGUGGGAGGAUGGUCCUUGCCAGCACCUAGCAUGGUUCUCUGCCAAGUUCUAGCUCCACAUCUCCAGGCUGGUAGGAACCUAGACUAUAUAUAGCAUUGUGCUAAGCAAUUCUUAUCAGACGUGUCUGCCCUCCCCUGUGGGAGUGGAGCACUUCUAUCAGAGAACCAGAACCUAGAGAGCAUGAGCCAUCUCCAAGGGCCUUUUAUUCUGGGAAGGGGUGUGUGUGUGUGUGUGUGUGUGUGUGUGUGUGUGUGUGUGUGUGUCUGUCUGUCUGGUUCAGGGCUGCUUACUUUCCUCCUGUAUUGCAGAUGCUGAUAGAUUGAAAGGUCGUGCUAGAUGAAGGUGCUGAUGUGGGAUGAGGGCCAGGAAGGGCUAAUAGCUCUGCGAUGGAUAUUGAGCUUAGAGGGAGAGAAGCUAGGGGCAUGUGACAUGGCUGAGGGUACAGUUGAGCCCUGCCUCCGCUUUCUCUUCCUGGUUUCCUGUUUGCCAUGCUUUGCCUAAGGAUGUCUUUUGACCUCUCUCUUCCUUCUUUCGGACCUCUUGCAUUCCCUGCCUUCCGUGCUGUUGAGCCACCAAUUUUUGUGGUUUUGUGACCACAAGUGCUGACUGAUGCGACAUGACCCCAGUCUUGUCAGUGAAUCAUCACCAGGCUGCUUACUGGAAACUGGAUGCAGCAAGGAAAUAGGAUUUAACCGCUCUCUGCCUCCCAGGUAAGUCCAGUGUGGGCUGCUCCCUCCAGCCUUCCCCCAUCCUCCUUCCUUCCCACGAACACCAUUUUCCUUAUUCCGCCGGGGAAUCCUCAGACGUCUCCAUUCAGAAUCUCCCAAACGAUUGUUCUCUUUUUUGCAUUCUUCUCCUUCUGGCUUUUCUGUGUGGGGUUAGUAACCAGCACAGGGUUGGGGGCAGAAUGGGCAGCUGAAGUGGUCGGGCUGUGCGGACGUGUGGGAGAUAGCUGGGUAGUGUUGCUGGGUGUGGCAGUUGGCAGAGCAUUUGGGCCUCCCACAGUAAUAGAAACUCUCUUUGGCUCCAGCAUCCAGCAGGAGGUUCUGGGUUUAACCCCUCGGUAAUCCUGGGAGCCUUCCUGGUGCCUGGGGAUUCUCUCCCCUGUGUAGUCUCAGUGGAUGGCCUGUCUUAACUCUAGAUACAUUUUGCCUUGAGGGGGCUUAGUCUAGGUUGGUGGUCUGGAGUUUGGACUGGGCUGAGCAGUGAGCUUUGGGACUCUCCCUAAUUUUGGGGUUUCUUUGAAUGAGCCACUUUCUUCCUCUAGGCCUUCAUUACCUUUGCCUUAAAAAACAAAAUCCCUGGUCCAGUAAGCCAUUGCAAAGCAUCUCUAGGAAGUUGACAAAGAAAUGCUUUUCUUCUGCCUCACUUGCUGCCGAUCACAGUAAUAGCAAUGGUGAUUAAAAAUGAAAAAUGAUGACGGCCUGCAGAAUCAGGGAGGUCAGUGGCAUCAUUGAUACAAUUCACAAAGCAGACUCUCGGUGCCCACACAUCACUAGGAAGUCUCUCUCCUAUCGAGUAGAUGACUACAGCAUUCUUGGCCAGUAAAGCCAGUUGGAAUUAGCCAACAGCAGAUUGGUCUGGGCUCUAAAGAUAAAAGGAAUUAUGUUGGGUAAUUUUCGGAGGUACCUAUGGGAUCCUACCUCUGGCCACACAGUGGUCGCCUCUCUCUGCUCAUAUGUUUCGGUGGGGGUGGGGGGUUCCUCUUCCCCAUGCUGCUCCCGUUGCUAUCCAGGGAAGAUUGGCCAAUUCUGCUUCCUGUUAUUUCUUCUUCUCCUCUGUCCAUUUGAGGUGAGUCUCUAGGUUGGCUGUGAACAGCCUGAGGAACCCAGGGCUGUUUGGAAGAAUCUGAUGUCUCUUCCUUCAAGGACCCUGACAGGUCUCAGCCCUCCAGCAGUACUGCAGUGAGGGAUGGCAGGGGGUGUUGGAGUGGAGAGAUAUCGACUUGGGUGCAGCUGGGGAGACUAAAAGGAGUGAGCCAAGUCCCUCAAGAAGUGUUGGCUAGAGUCUGGCCAGCCCUGGCUGUAGGGCUGGAGCCAGACGUAGCUGCUGGCUGUGCUUGGGAGUCUCAGCCCUCAUAUGUGCAGUGUGUCCCUGGGCAUGGCUCUUCGUGAUCCCCACUCCCACGAAUAGCCCUGUCCUUGGUUAGAUUGGGAAAACCAGGGUGGGAAGUAAAGGGGAGGUUGGUUUUGCUCGUGGUCAUGCAGUUAUCUCUCUGGCCUCUGAUGUUUCCAGAAUUGGGAUUGGUGCUUCCCUGCUGAUUUUCCUAUUUUUGUCCCUCAUCUGGUUCUUUUCCUCCUUGCUCACCAGCCUGGGUUCUACACACAUGACAUGGGGCAUUGUGUGUUCCCAAUGAGGAUAGCAGAACAGUUGGUAUCUCCUGAGAGAGGGGCCAGCAUAUCUGGCACUUUUUUCUUGACCUUUGAAUUUCUGAGGUCUGGGAGUCAGGAGGCAGCAUGGGGCCUCUCCAUCCGGGAUCCAGCAGAGGUUAACAGAGUUGGUGGCUCUGGAGCUGAGGUGGUGUGGCUUGGCUGGGAGUUGUGGGGGAGAGGCCCUGCCAGGGGCCCUGAUUGGUCAGUACCUUCUCUAUUCCAUUGAAUCCUGGUCCGGUCAGCUCUGUGAAUUGUUUAAUGCAUAUCUUGGCUCUGUCCCCUGGCUCGAGUGUCCCUAAGGCUGCAGCCACAGCUUUAGAGAGGAUCUGUACCUUGUGCUGGUCACUUUUUUUGGGCGUGUUACCUCCCUCUGAGAUAUGUAAGAGAUACCACCCUUUCCCACCAGCCGGCUGUCUGUGGGAGGCCCUCAUUUUGCUUUGCUUUUCUGAGACUUGGAGUGACUGUGAGGAAAGCAUGGACUGAGUUUGCUUUCUUGCUGGUUCCUUCCACAAGAGCUGCUCAUGGGCUGAUAAAGCCAGAGAACACCUCCAGGGCCCCAUGGCCUGUGCGGAGCCUGGUACCAUAGUGUCAAGCCUACAGGGAUGGACUGGGGACAUGGGGGCAGAUAGAGCCACGUGGGGAGGUGGUAUGUGUGGUUAGAUCACAGGAGCAAGUCCAGGAGGGUGUGGGAGGACAAGUCCAGUGCUCAGCCAGGGCUGCCUGUCAUGGCCCAGGAUGGAUGUGUGCAUCUCCUGUGAAGGAUUUGCGUCUGAGUGCCUGGUACUGAAGGUAGGAUGGUGCCCCGAUCAGGGUCUAUAAUGAGGCAUGAAGGUAUGAGAUGGGCAUCAGAGUUGUUGGUCCAAGGGAAACUGACCUUUUUAAAGGGCUCUCCUCUCCUUAUCUGAUUUCAUCCUCAGAACAACCAUAUGACAUAGGGAUCACUUCCCUUUUAUAGUUAAAGAAACAGAUUAAGUGACUUAACCCAAGGUUAUGCAUUUGGUAAGUGAGGUUGUUGAGAUUUAAAUGCAUGCACUUCUUAUUCCAAAGCCUCUACGUUAUCUUUACUCUUUUGGGCUGAAGUCAGACAUUUUUGUGAACUAAGAUUCUCAGAGGACUGAUGUGAACCAGAGUGAAAAGGCAGACACCCGAAGGAACUUUCCAGUCACUGGGGACGGUUGUGCCGCAUUCCUUUAGGGGGAGGCAGGGCAGACCCAAAUGCCCUUUGGUAGCCAUGGACAGGCAGAGCUGAGUAAGGCCAGUACAUGGCGUCUGCUGCUGUGUACGGAGCCUCUGCUAUGUGCCAGGGACUGUGCCAGGCGCUAGAGAUACAGAACUUGACAAAGCCAACUUUCCACUUUCAUGGGGCAUACAUUCUAGUGUGGAGAGACACCGCUAAUAAUGAUUUUUAAAAAGAAUUUAAAAAUGUACAGGGUAGACAUAUAUGGAGAUUGUGUGGGGAUGAAAAGGGGGACCCCCCACACACAUAAGGAGGAGAAUUCAGAUGAUGGUCAGAGGGUUCUAGAGACUUAGGACCUCAGCCAUCUGAAGCCACAUCAAUUGAGCUUUCCUUCAGGGAGUUAGGACUGACACAAACUAACCCCCUCUUUUUUCCUAAUAACUUGGGAAAUCCAUCCAAGGUCCCCAUGGCUUACAGGAACUUGUCGUGAGUCAGGGAUCAAGGUGGAGUAGAUGUCAAGCCUUUGGUCUCCGGCAGACUGGUUCUCUCCUGUCUGCCAUGGUUGCUGUUGGCCUUCUGCCUCACACCCUCCCAGGCACCAGCUGACUUCUUUCCUCAGCCUGGUCACUGUGCCCCACACUUGUCCAUGCAGCACAGGGAAACGUGCAGGUUAGGUCUUUGCCGAGCCAUUGGUCAAAUGUUCCUGCAGGAGGCUGGUUCUGAACUCAGCCUGUCCUGCCAGAACGAGCCGUUCCCAGAGCUAAUCGUCUCACGAUAGGGAAGGGAUGGGCACCAGGCAUAGAGAAGUGACCUGUGCCAGAUGCUUGGUUGAGCUGUGUCUUGAGAGGCGGAGGCAGGUUGGUGGUGCUGGGGACAGGGCAGGCAUGUGUCAUGUGUUCAGCGCAUGUAGCUCCAGGGCUCGGGACUUGUUUACUUGGUGGAAGAGGCAGCGGACCUGCGGAGUCAGGCCAUGUGAUUGUUGGCUCUUUGGCUGAUCAUGGACAGCUGACCCGCCGGACUGCACACACUGCCAUCUGCUGCCAGGGGUCUGAAGUUGCACAGGGAUGAGGUAGUGUAGUUGGGGGUGCUCAGGGAGGAGGAGGGUCAGGAAAGUGGGGUUUGUGUUGCUCUGUGUUGAGUCAGCCGACCCUGAUUCUGGUCCUAGCUCUUGUUGGUAAAAACUCACUCACUUUCCUCCUUUCAGCUCCAGUUUCAUUAUCUAUGAAAUGAGGGGAUGGAACCAGAAUCUCUUUGGAGGUUCCAGCUGUAUCCUGGGGCCUCCCUGAAUGUUCAUGGAGAUGUUCCUUAGCCAGUAAUUCAAGAUGAGGAAAACUAGGCCCAGGUUUCCACAAGAGAAGGGGAGGGAUCUUGAUGACCUGUCUCAGAGCGGCUGAAGUGGUACUGUUGGAAUUAGGGUGGGUGGGUGGGAGGAGGUAGUUUUUAAAGACCUCCCAGAAGUGGAAGCAGAGGGCUGGAGGUUUCGUGAAGGUGUUGAUGAGGAUCCACCGGGUGGUAGGGGACAUGGCUACGCGCUUCCCCCGGGAGGCUUGUUGGAGAUGGGUUUAUGUGGGAGCUGCUGGGGGUGCCUGCUGUCCUGCAAGGGGCUGACCCAAGGGACCCUGCUCUAGGAAAGAUGCUCCGUCCUGUCUGGCCCUAAACCCUGGAGAGAGAAUGCAGCUGUGGUUUGAGGGAGGGUCUGUGCCCCUUGCUGUCAGGAAGUUUUCCUUUAUAUUUAGCCUUCUCUUUUCAUGUAUUUUUUGAGGCCCUCGACUAAAAAAUUAAAUUUAAUUUUAAAAAAUAACAAUGAAAAAAAUAAAAAAUAAACAAAAAUAUCUCAGAGCCACUGGUUCCAUUUUGGCUUUUUAGUCUUGAGUCACUCUUAAAAAGAUAGCAAAAUAAAACACAUGCAGGAAAGCCGAAGGUCCCAGGCCCAGCCAGAUGGGGGCUAGGAGUGGCUGGGACUCUGGCCUAGCUUCUCCAUGGCAGCGUUAGUCCCAGACGUACACCACUUCUGCAAGGCUGUGUGGGUAGGAGCCCCUGGGGCUGAGGGGGCACAUUGUGCAAUCUGCUAAGCAGAAUGUAGAGUUUUAAAAUAGCUACCUUUCUCCAAGACACUAUCUGCUUGCCGCUUUGUGGGAUGUUUACCUGGGAUUAAUAAUAGCUGAGUGCCACCCCACUGCCAGUAUGGAAUAGCAAACAGCGAUCUGGGCUAGGACUCAGGCAGGAGAGGAAUGGAGUAAUAACCAUCGUAUCAGCUCACAUAGUUCUUUUCAUACUUGCUGGCUCAUUUGGUCCUCACACAACCCUGAGAGGGUAGGUGGUCUUAUCCUUGUCGUUGGUAAAACUGAACCUGAGAGUCAAUCCUGCCAAGAUCUGACUGCUUGUAGCCGCUUCUCGUGGGUCUCCCAUCUAGGUCCUCUGACUUCAGCUGUUAUUUCUCUGGGUUCUGACUAGUGGGGCAGGGACAGGAGUAGGGGAGUGGAGUCUUUGGCAGUUUCCUUAAUUUCUGAAGGCCUUAGAGGGCCUAGAGAUGCCUUUUCUAUGUGUUGAAUGGGAAACGGAACCUCAGCAUGUCCAGGUUCUCCAACUCUCUGAUUCUUCAGACUUCUUGGAGCUCUUGUGAGAACUGGCUUGCACUUUUUGGCUGGGAAGCCAGCCACUCACCAUGUGUUCUUGGAGAGGUUUCCUGUAUUUGGAAGCUUCUGGAAUAUGUGAUGCAUCAAACCACUGUGACACAUCUGUAUGGCACCUCAUGCCUAUGCACACAGGCAUGCUUCUGCUGAGUGCAGCUCACUUAGAGAUGAGGCCCAGUGUAGGGUUUUUGAAAUUUUUCCAACACAUUUGUAAGAGAUGCCCUGAGCCUUGCCCAGCAUGCAUGUUGUGUGUAUGCUACCUGUUUGCUGGCUAAUGUACAGCGCCUGCUGGAAGCCUUGGCUAAUGUACAAUGUAAAGUAAGGGACUAGAAACACUGGCUUUAGUUCUGAGUGUCUGCUUCAUGAUUGACUUGAAAAAGUAGGGCUUACCCACAGAGAGAAAGGUGGGUAAGAGAACUCGUGGGUGUCAGUUUUCCUUAAAGGCAGAGCAUAAUCCCCCACUCUUUAUAAGGGCUGGUAAGGCAGAGUAUUGGACAGCAGGACUUCUUGGCCAGUUAGCCCUCUUGAGUGACCUUUGUUUAAAUAGACCCAGAACUUGUAUGAAGGAGGAAAUAAUGGUUUAUCUUUAUUUACAGCGGAUUUAGCCAUGAUGGUUUAGGCUUUUUCUGGGGGUAUUCCUUUAGGACAGUUGAGGUUGGACAGGGGCAGCAUGCAUAUGUGUCUCUAAAUGUCUGUCCUUUGGUAUUUCCUGAAUGCAUCCUUGGCUCAUACUGAAACCCUGUGAUGGGGAAUCCACAGCGGAAUUGUUUUAGUGGAUAAAGCCUUCUGUAGCUUCAUGUGUGAAGAUUUGUCAUGUUGGAUCCAGUUCAUUCUGUCCACUUGAAGGAUGGAAAAGAGAGUGGGCAGAACUUGCAGCAAGGAGAGUGAUUUGGGCUAGACUUCUGGGAGAACUGUGCAUCACCUCUGCUGAGGGUUCCUGAGGAAAGAUGAAGCCUCUUUAUUUGAGGUAGGAGACUCGGUGUCCUCCACAGGAUCCUCCCAGUCCCAAGUCUGUGGCACUUUGAGACAGUCCCUGGAACAGCAUGAGGUUUGGGUGCCAGGAUCUAGAGCAGGCAUUUCUCUCCAUCUUUCCCAUCUGUCUUCAAGACAGGCCCAAGCUGGAUGCAAUUGAGGGGAUGCAUGGGCAGGGUACACCAAUGUGGUCAUCGAAUCUGGAACUUUGACCUUGUUUCCCUUUGCAGAGAGAACUUCUGGCACUGAUCUUAUAGGAACUGGUGUUAUUUGCAUAUAAAAAAAGAGAAAGGCAUGUUGUCCCUCAUCUUUUCCAGGAAAGAGUGCUGAGCUGCUCUAAUCCUAUGGUGGGGAGGGAGGAGGGCCGUGUAGAGGACGCAAGGCCAGACAUGGUUUGCUGGGAAGAAGGUAGGAGGUGGGAGAGGAACAUCCCAGGGCAGGCCCACAACUCUGGGAGCCACAGACAUUGCCUGCUAUACUAAAGGCAAAGGGAUGUGUUCAAAUAGGCCUACUAUUUAGCGGUAACCCACAGUCUGAAAUAAAUCAGUUAAUGGCUAAAUGAGAGUUGUAUUAAAUAUGGAAAAUCAUAUUUUUUGUGUGUCAUCACCACCUACAGAUUUAGCAUCAACAGGCCUGAAAGGCUGAGGAUGCUGAAAUGGGCCCUGUCCGUAAGAUCAUGCUUAUUUUAUAAUGACUUUUUGUCUCUUUUCAUUACUAUUUCCCACUCUUAUUCCUUAGGUCUACGUGAAUAUUUAUUUAUGCAGUUGUGUUAUUUCCUUGGGGUACAGUUCUUCCAGUGUCAUUGGCAUCAAUGAAUAUGUGACUUUGAUUUCAAGUGUAAACAAACCACUGGUUCACGGCAGGGACAAGCCAUCUCUGAGACAAGGGCUCCAGCAGCUGCCUACAGAUGCCCUUCCCCCAAUAGCCCUGGACUGUUUCGGCCAGACGCCUGAGACGAGAGUCAAGGGUGUUCUUGCAGGGACCUGCCCAACGCUAUGUCAUGUGUCCUGCCUGGAGGGUGGUGCUCACACAUGCAUCUUCCAGCCUUAUUAGCUGGUACUGCUUUUCAGCUUGACCCGAGGAGUGGUAUUGGAAGUUUGAGACCGUACAUCCCUUGCUAGGUGAGAAGGGGGUCAGAGAGGUCAGGCACAGACAGAGAAGGGAACGCAGGCUCCUGGCCACUAGCCUCUCUCAAGACAGGUGAACUUUGUGUUAAGCGAACUCAUUUAAUAUUUUGGGCCUAAUAGAAGUUAUUUGUAUUUUCUCUCCUCUCUUUUCCCUCCUCUCUCUCACUCACCCUCCCCCCACUCCCCAGCCUCCAAAGAAUUUAAUCUGCUGGACAACAAACAAUACUGUUAUAAAACUUUGAAAACAAGAGGGCGCGGCCUCCCUGACAAGGAGAAGGGCAUGUUGGGUAACGGCCUGAGGGAGCGUGCCAGGCCUGAGAUGGAGCCGGGCGAGAGCCCAGUUGGCUGGGUACCUGGGCGCCUGCCCCUGCAUAGCCCACUAGCCGCGCCAUCCCCAGGCCAGAGGGGAAGGAACCAAAACAAAAUGGGGGGCAGAGAAACGCUUGAAAAGGGAAGUUGCACAUGUUCCCCUCUCUCUGAUCUGAUGGGAAUGCACUAGACUGUGAAACUUCCUCCUCCACCUCUUCUCCCGAGUCCCUCCCUCCCUCUUACCCUCCUUCCUCCUCUCUCCUCCCUCCUUUCUCCUCCUUCCUCCUCCUGCUACUCACUGUUCUUGAGUCUGGCAGACAGAGGUCCUGAUAGCAGAAUGAGGCUGGAAUAGCACCAUAGGUGCAGCUACCAGCUGGGCCAGCCAAAGAGGAAGGAGAGAAAGUGGGCUUGCAGUUGGCUUUGGAUUCAAAUCUACCCUCUGUCUGGCCCAGCCUCCCUCCAUUCUAUUAGGGAAGUGGAACUACAUCACGCCACAGGGUGUGCCCAGUCCAUGUGUGUGGACCAGGUGUGUGCCCAGGUACUGGGGAGAACUGCCACUCAGAGAUUAGUUCAGGAAGCACCCUGGGCUUCCUGGUGCCCCCCUUGGGCUGUGCUCUGCUCUGGGGAGAGUGUUUGACUUGUUGAAAUGCUCUCUCCUUUGAGAUGCUGUGCUCUCCCUCCAGGGAGGAGCAGAGGCUGUGCUGCAAGAGGCUGGGGCAUGUCUCUGGAGGAGCUCUUGGGAACAGGAACGUGCUUCUCCCAGCGAGAGCAGCCAUGCCGUCUUGUGAGUGUGGUGCCUGGUAGGAUACUGCAUCUGUUAGUUACUUCCCAGUGGCUGAAGGAAGUGGUCACCAGCUCUGCCUGGGGGAGGUGGGGGAGCUGGGCUUUGGGGCGUCUCCCUCCCUACCUCCAGAGUUAGGUUUCACCUGAGACUGUGGUUUCACUUUUGACUCCAUCUUCACUGAGUCAAGCAGAUGAUUUAGGAAUGACCAGGGAGCAGCAUUGGUGGUUUGCCUUUGGAUCUGCAUUGGUUUGGACCCAUGAACUCUGUGGUGGGCAUUGUGUUUGUGUAAUAGACCAUUGGUAUGCUCAUUUUUCCUCUUGCAGAAAGCACUAGCUUUCUUGAAAGCAGUUCAGGGACAUGCCCAUCCUUCUGUGCCAGAGCUGAGCCCUUCUACUGGGGGAACAUGGAGACACGCGAGCUCCAGUCUUCAUUCCACUCCUCCUCCUUCCCUUUGCCCUCCACUGUCUCCUGCUGUCCCCCCAGCUCAUCCCAGGGGCAGGGUAACCUUGGUGCAUCCUCCCAUCCAGCCAGCAGUCCCGACCCAGGGCCCCCGUGCCUGGACUGAGUCUGGGGUUUAUGUCAGUAGUGUUAAGGGAGGGAUGGAAAACUGAACUUUUAGGAGUGCAGCUGCCUAGGAACAUAGACCUCCAUACCUCUGACGCAGGGGAAACCAGAAAAACCGAUGCUGGGUCCACGUAGGCUUGGAAGGCUGUUACUUUUUGCCUUCUUACCUGAAUAGGAAUUUGAGGGGCACUGUGGGUUUGGAGGAUGUGAUUCCCACACUGGGGCUCAGGGCCUGGGAAAUGCAGUGGUCCCUGGGUUCUGAGUCCUCCUUUGAAGGCCACCCUGCCAGAAAGGAAGAGCCUGAUGGAGGUUUCUGGGGACUUUGGGCCAGCCGGUAACUCCAUGCUCCCUCUGCUCCACCCUUGGCCCCUCAUGUGUAUACCAUUCCUUUUAUCACCCUUCCCUCUGAUUCACAGCCCCCACCCUGACAGCUAAAGACAGAAUGCCCAGGCUGCUGCCUAGAAUGACAGGAAGCUGGACUGCCCUUUCAGUUUAUACAUGCAAUGGCCUGGGACUGUCUCUUGAGGGCAAGACAUUCCCCUUUUACAAAAGAGCCUUCCCCAGGCCCCUCUCUCACCAAGAUGAGCUCUUCCUUGCUGCCAGGAGCCCUGAAAUCAGCAUUCCCAGAGGAAAGAAGAUGGCCAUCUGGGCUUGGCUUCCGGCUCCCCCCAUCUGGCUGGAACACACAUCAGUCACGUAAGUAGCUGUGACUCAGCACCCAGCACUGCCUUGGCAGAACCUUCCCACGUUCUGGAUUUGCACACACUGUGGUAGCGCAGCACAAGCAAGCAGGGUUAGGUAACUGGGGACCAGUGUCUGUUUGUUCAGUGGGUUUGCCUAUGGAUUUCAGAAAGAAGGAUUCCCUCACCUUCCCAUUUUCCUCCCAUGUUAUUUUUUAGGUACCAUGCUAGGCUUUAAAGACAAAGCAUCAUUUAUAGAAUGAAGUAGAAGCUGUCUUUGCAGUCUCCAAACUAUUUUUAACCAACAGCCUAUAGAUGGUAUUUAACCCUCAGGUGUGUUUGGCCUGCACGGGUUUUUGUUUUUGUUUGAGACAGGGUUUCACUCUGUAGCCCAGGCUGGAGUGCAGUGGCACGAUAUCAGCUUGCUGCAACCUCUGCCUCCCGGGCUCGAGCAGUUCUCAUGCCUCAGCCUCCUGAGUAGCUGGGACUACAGGUGCCACCACACCUGGCUAGGGUUAUUUUAAUGUAUCUGAUUUUGCAUGCAUUUAGACAAAAUAUGGCCUCUCCAGUUCACUGUAUUUCUGCUGCAUGCUGUUGCUGCUUCUCUGUCUCAGGUUUCCUGCCCAAGCCCUCCGAGCAUUUGAAUGUGCUGUGAGCAGCCUACCUCAGCCUCCUCUCUUUACACAUGAAGACACUGAGGCCCAUUCAGGGCAAGUGGCAGGUCCCUGUUCUCAGAGUUGGGGCCAAGCAGGUAUUAAAACCAUUGUGUUCUGAUUCACUGUGUGCCCAAGCAGAUUAAUGCCCUGGUGUGAGGUCGAGAAGCCUCCAGGUAGAAUGUGGGGACAGAAGUGGACCAGGCUAGAGUAUAGCUCCCACACCUUUCCCAUGCGUGGCAGCACUCGUAAGACUGACAUGCCCACCCUUCUGGAUGGGUGGUUUUCCUCCCCAGACAGCCCUGCCAACCCUUUCACCUUCAGCCAGUUUGUUUGGAGUCAUUAGGCUGAGGUGGGUAAAACCCAUCACCCUCCUUGGAUGGCAGAGCUCUCAGCAGGCUGGGAUUUUCAUGGGCUGCCUUCUUACAGGUCUAGGUGGCCUUCAGGCAUGGUGCCAGGGAAAGCAAGCCCCUUCCAGCCCUUACCAAACUAACUGGCUGCUUCCUAGUAGGGAACAGCCACCAGCUUGUUUCAGCGAAGAGUCAUUGCUCAGCUGAUUCUGAGAGGAGAAAACUGGUUCUGUUGGGAGGGCUGAGACCUGAAGGACCCCUUUUAUCCAGUGGAAUUGGAAAGGCAAAGGAUUUCAAUACUAACAUGAUUUUUUUCUCCACUUCUUUUAGAGUGUUUAAUUAAAGUGAUGCAUUGUUAAUGGCUUCUUAUCUCUUCUUCCAGAGAGUAAAGAGUUAAAUUUUAGAAUCCAGGAGUGGGGACCCAGACUGUGGCUUCUGUUAACUCCCUCAGUGGCAGUGGCGUCCUGCUAUGCACAGCCCCUCUGCUGUACUCCGAAUGGUCCCUUACGGGUAGCAGGAGAGACAUUAAAUAAUCACACUGAUGACCAAGUGAGAUAAGUGGUUUUUGAAGGAAAGAACUUGAGGCUGGCGAGGACCACUUAACCUUCUAGCAAGGGCUGGACUCAGGGAGGCUUUCCUGAGCUGCGGGGAGGAUGACAGGUUCCCUGGAGUGGUGGUGGGUGGGGGCGGGGCUGAGGGGUGGUAGCCAAGGGAGGGUGAAGGAGAGUAUUCCAGAAGAGACAACAGCUUAGGCAGGCAGGACCUCGCCAUGGAGGAAGGUGCUUUCUGAUCACUGCGGGACACCUGUGUGAUAGCUCAUAGGGAGGGGGUACUGGUAACUAAAAGUUGAUAAGGAAGAGUGGCUAAAAUGAAAAGCAGAAAAGUGAGAAUCUCAUCAAAUCCCCUCAUUUGACAGGAUUUGGACUCCCAGUAGUAACUGUCCUUAAACACUCACUCCUGACCUUACAACCCUGGCUGUUACCUGGUUAACAAGCCCCAGGUGUUGGCUACAGGUGUCAUCACUGAGAGCCCUUGUGUGCAGAUCUGCCCCAGCUCUCCCACCUGUGACUGAGGCUAGCAAGUCCCCCGUGGGCUGUAGAGCCUAGCGCUGGUGUCAGAAUCGCUUGUUGCAGGUUCAUCUUCAGUGUCUUUCCCACAGCCACAUGCUGGGGAAAGACGGCAAAGGCGCUAGAGGAGCAGGAGAACAAAGCAAGCUGCCCCAGACCACCCGGCUUUCGCAGAACCCAGAUGAUGCUCCUGUCUCCCCCUAAGUAUAACGUGUUAUGUAGUCAGUAUGAUCCCAUUCAGUGCAGAAGUAUCGCCUAGGAAUUUCCUGCCCCACCCACCCUGUUUUGUUCUUAAUGAAGUUCAAGAACAAAAUGAGAUGAUAGUCAAGUUAUGGAGCAGGCUGCAGUGGAUACAAGGGCAGAAACACAGUCUUUGGAGUUAGACCUGGGAUCUGCAUUGAUUGGUUGUGUGACUGCAGACAAGUUAUUUAGCCUCAUUAAGGAUGAAUUUCUUCGCAAAAAUUGGAAUAAUACCUGCCCCAUACGACUGUUGUGAGAAUUAAACACCGCAACUUUUGAUGUUCAAAUUCUAUUUCUUCUCCUUCUAGCAACACAUACUGUUAGUGCCAGGAACCAUAAAAAUUAUAAGGCUGUAUCUAGAGGCCUGAAAGGAAGCUAAAAUAUACAGUGUCUACUCUGUCUCUUUUCUCUUGGUUAUGGUAUCAGAGGAAAUACACAUAUUUUCUUAGCUUCAAACCACCAAAAAAGAUGAUGCAGUAAGGAGAUGGGAAAUCUAAUUUGGAAUACAGUGUGCAAAUCUUAUUUUCAAGCAGACUUUGAAAAUAAAACUCAAUUCUUACGUUAGAGGAUUAUCUGCUUAAUACAAUUAUAGGGUACCAGUUUUUGAAGUCACAUCGGGGUUAAAUAAGAUUGCAGGUUCAUGGGGUCAUAUUUGAAUGUUCUGAUACUUACAUAUGGGGUGGGAAGGAGGAAUGCAUGCUUUUCUCAAGUUAAGACACAUAAAAGAGUUGUCCUGGCCCAGGUGAGACUCGCCUUUGUGUAGCAGCUGGAGCUUCAUUCCACAGGCAGAUAGGGUGCUUGUGUCCUGAUGAAGUAAGAGAAUAUAUCUGGAAACACUUUGUGUACUGUGAAAUACUAUACAAAUGCAGGGCAGUACAAAUGUAAAUAUUAAUGUAUUUUAGUAAUAAUUUUAGCUUUUAUUUCAUCAUAUAUAAUAAUUUGUAGUGACUGGUGUGAAGUUAAAUAGAAUUAACCUAGAAUUAAUGAGUUUUGUAUUGCUCUCAUCUAUUUGAAGCAUCAGCUGUGCCUUUCAUGUUGCCUUGUGCAGCCCUGUGUAACCUCCUCUGUGCCUUUCCCAUGGAGCACUGUGUCAUAUCACAAGUAGAACUACAAGAAGAUAUUUCUCCUCAGGGCAGAGGCUGGGUCUUCCGAUUGAAUCUCCCUUCUUUCUUCAUUGAGAUCCUCUUCUUCUGGAAGCUGGUUUCACAUGGUGGCUUAGAUUUUUCCAUCUUUGUAUCUAGCACCAUUUGAAAUCAGUGUUUUAGGAGUAAGAAUUGCAGCACAGCCAAGGGUGGACUGCAGAGGAACUGCUGCUCAUGGAACUGGCUCCUCUCCUCUUGCCACUUGAGUCUGUUCGAGAAGUCCAGGGAAGAACUUGAAGAGCAAAAUACACUCUUGAGUUUGUUGGGUUUUGGGAGAGGUGACAGUAGAGAAGGGGGUUGUGUUUAAAAUAAACACAGUGGCUUGAGCAGGGGCAGAGGUUGUGAUGCUAUUUCUGUUGACUCCUAGCAGCCAUCACCAGCAUGAAUGUGUUCGUAGGGCCUUUGAGUGUGGCGAUUGUCAUAUUCUGUUGGAUAACAAUGUAUUGGGUGUCGAUUGUCAUGGGGCAGGGGAGAGGGCAGUACACCUGGAGGACCAUUUUGUCCACAUCGACACCAUCAGUCUGCUCUUAGAGGAUGCCCUGGAGUAUUCGGCGUUGAUUGCGGGGCACCCGAAAUCAGACUUGCCACCUGGACUGUCGAGGUGCAGACCCUGGGAGCACCACUGGCCCAUCUCUUACACAGGCUGACCGAUUUCUCCUGGUGUUCAGAGUCUGUUUUUGUCUAGCACCAUUUGAAAUCGGUUAUGAUGUAGGGGGAAAAGCAGCAGCCUCGAAGCCUCAUGCCAACUCUGGGCAGCAGCAGCCUGUGGUUUCCUGGAAGAUGGAUGGGCAGAGAAUAGGGAAGGAAGAUCAUGCUUUUCCCUACUAACUUCUGUAACUGCAUGUAUGAUACAUUAUUGCAGAGGUAAGAGAUAGUUUAAUGGAUUUUUAAAAACAAAUUACUAUAAUUUAUCUGAUGUUCUCUAGUUGCAUUUUGCUGAAAUGUAGUGCUGUUCUAAAUUCUGUAAAUUGAUUGCUGUUGAAUUAUCUUUCUGUUGAGAAGAGUCUAUUCAUGCAUCCUGACCUUAAUAAAUACUAUGUUCAGUUUAUCAUGUCUGUGUUUUUCAUCUAUUAUUUCCCAUUCAUAAUUCUGUGAUGAUAAGAAGUGGGUCCUGAAAAAUUAAUUGGCUGUGCAGAUCUUGCCUACUUCAUAAAGAAUUUGAAGUAGGUUACAGCCAGCCAGACAUUAAAAAUGAAGCCCAUUAAGAGAAGAAUGAAAUUCUAUGAGCCAAGAAAUAAAAUGAGAGAAAAGAUUAGGGAAGAGAAGAAAUGUUGAAGAUCAAGGCUGAGGGAUGCUCCCUACUGAAUGGGAAAACUCCUUAGUUCCACAUGGGCUGUAGACACAGCCCUUCUGCCAGCAACUGUUCCUGCAAGGAACUGGUGCUCAACUAAACAUACUGUCACAUGGUUCCUUGAAGGGGCACAGCACUGAUUUCACUUGCAUUAUAAAAGAUUGAGUGGUGCUUUUGACUAUUAGUUUAUGUCAACACUUCAAAACAAGAUGAGCCAGUUUUUUUUUGUUUUUUUUUUUUGUUUGUUUGUUUGUUUUAGACGGAGUCUCACCCUGUCACCCAGGCUGGAGUGCAAUGGCACUGUCCCCGCUCACUGCAACCUCCGCCUCCCGGGUUCAAGCAAUUCUGCCUCAGCCUUCCGAGUAGCUGGGAUUACAGGCGUGGCACCUCCACGCCCAGCUAAUUUCUGUAUUUUGUAGUAGAGACGGGGUUUCAUCAUGUUGGCCAGGCUUGUCUCGAACUGCUGACCCCGUGAUCCACCCACCUCAGCCUCCCAAAGUGCUGGGAUUACAGGCGUGAACCACCUCGCCUGGCCCAGUGAGCCAGUUUUGUAAAGCUAUUCAGAGAUUAGCCAGAUUUGAUUUGAUAGGGGAUCAAGCUUGUAGGAUCUUCAGGAAGGCGGGCUGUGGCCCCUUGAUCAGGCUUUUUGCACAGGAGGUGCAUGACUAUGAACUACCCUCAGUAGAACUCUUUUAAGCCAGUGGCUUGCAAUAAAUGAUGGCAAAUCAGCCACCUAGGAAGCCAUUUCUAAGCCCAACCCCCUGCCACAGUCUUCCUCUAGAUGGCUGCCCUGCCCAGUGGGCUGAGAGUGGGGGGCGGAAGUAGCAUUUGCUGGGAAGACUUGCCAGUACAUAUGUUGCACCCCCUCACUGCAGCUGCAGUGCUAUUUCAGGCUGUUGAUGGAAGAACCCAUGUUCUAAUCCCCAGGAUGUGGUGGGAAGACCCUAAGUGGUGGUGUUAGUUAAGACCCUAAGUUAUAUUGUUUUGUUCACUUCCCACUGAGAUAGGCUACAAUAGUAUUAAAUACCUAUAGGUCAGACAUUUUUGGGGUCUGUUGUACUACCUACCAAUUAAACAGUUUUUGAUCCGCCCACCACGCUCAAAGCUCCAGCCUAGGUGUUGCAAAUACAGACGACAGAUUUUUGCUCUCAGGAGGCCCUGAUUCCAGUCCUCAAACGAGUAAGUGUGAAAUUGAGUGCAGCAUUAAAGCACAAAAACAAUGAUUUGAGACGUCUUUUCUAUAAAAGAAGUUUAUAGCACUCUCAUUGAAUGCUUAAAUAGUGCCACACUGCUAAGUCGUGAGAAGCAAAAUGUAACUGCGGUGCCUCAAACAGGAUUAUUUUGUUUUAUUCAUUUGGAUGCGGACAGCUCUUUAUCUAAAAUUGCCAUUCUGAGGUGGUUUUGCACAAUAAAUUGGUAAUUAUGUAGACUGUUUCUUCCAGAGACAGCAUCUUGAAUCGGGUUUAUGAAGCCAUGCUAUCAACCUAGGUAGAAAAUGCUUUGUAGGACAUGGGUCCUGCUUAUCUAAAUUUUACCAGAUUUUAUUAGCUGUAAAUUUAUAAGCGGGUCUUGGUGAAUAGAUAAUGAAAAAAAUAUUGAGUGGGGAGGCUUAUUAGACUGACAGCACCUUCAAGACUCAUGCAAGUUGGACUGGAAAAUCCCACCUGUGGAAGUAAAACACUGAUGAGUCCUUAAUAAAUAUGGAUGAGACAAGUCAAAUAUUUGGCCAAUUUAGGUGAAACAGAAAUAAGUCUAGAACUGGACAAUUAUUUGUGUAACAUACUGGCCCAGACCUUCACUUUGAGAAGCUGGUGUGUAGUUUCAGGAGAGUACCUGGCAGACUAGUGUGUCCAUACUUCGAUGGAGCUUGAGAGUUUUCCUUGAACACAAAAGUUGUAUUUUUGAGUUUAUUCUAGUAUGAUGGUGCCCUACCCUAUCUUCCUAUUCAGUUCACCCAAAGAGCCUUUAAAUUAGUGUUCCCUUGGUCCCAUCCCUACAGUCUCUGGUUUUGCUGGUCUGGGAAUGGGUCUGGACAUCACUGUUGUUUUAAAGUUGAGAGCCUCUCUUCUGUGGUCUUGUUCCUAAAACGCUUUACUACUCACUGUGGUCUGAGGGCCCCCAGCACUGGUGUGUUAGUUUCCUGUGGCUGCCCUAAAAAAUUACCACAAACAUGGUGUCUUAAAACAACACACAUUUGUACAGUUACAGAUUCCAGAAGCCUGCAAUCAGCUCACUGGACUGCAAGGGCCACCCGCCCUCUCAGAAGCGCCGGGAGAGAACAGGUUUUCUUGCCUUCUUCAGCUGCUAGAGCUGCGUUCUUUGGCUUGCACCCCCUUCCUCUGUCUUCCAAGCCAGCGGGGCAGUCUUUUGCUUCAGUGGCCAUGUUGUCUUCUGGCACAGUCACAUCUCCCCCUGCCUCCCUCUUAGAAGGACCCUUGUGGUUACAUUUAGGGCCCCCACCUGGAUAAUCCAGGAUAAUCUCCCUAUUUCAAUUUUCUUAAUCUCAUCUGUAAAGACCCUUUUGCCAUAUAAAGUAACAUUCACAGGUUCCAGGUAUUAGGACUUGGAUAUCUUUAGAGGCCAUCAUACAGCCCACCACAAACAGCUCCUUAGGCACUCAUUAGAAAUGCAGAACCUCAGGCCCCAACCGAUACCUUUUGAAUCUUCUGAUUCUAAUUUAAGAAGAUCACCAUGUAACUCACUAGCACACUAAGACUUGAGAAGCACGAUGCUAUGGGAACCUAACCAAAGAAUUCUCAAGUCCCAACUUAAAUACAAAUUUACAGAGUAUUUUUCCUAGGAACGCUUUCAGGUGGAGGAGAUUAAUCAGACGAUAGAUAAUUUUCCUGAACACCAUUCUGAAGUGCUUCUCUAAGCAUUUGUUCCUGAAUUCUCUCUCAAUGAAGCCACAAGCCCCAAACACCAGGAUUACUGUUUACAGGGGUUCCUGUUUACAGUAGUUUAGCACAGGGUUUGCCACACUGCAGCAUAUUAUUAUAGUUUAGUUUUGUAAAAAGCUACAUGAGAGAGGUAAAUCUUAUAAAUGGAGGUGGAGUCUCCUAACACCAGUUUUACCACCUCUGUACAGGUUUCCCUGGGCUAUGUACUAUCGAAUCAGGAAUCAGGAAGGGCGGCUUUUUCAAAUGUUAUCUAUACUUUUGGCAAUUUGUUCAAACGUUCUGCUGGUAUGUGAGAGGGAAGGAAAAAUUGUUUAUUGACCACAGAUCCACAAUAUUAUACUUCUCCUAUACUUAAGCAAUAAGGGACAGCAUUUAAAACUCUUUUAAAAAUGUUAAUCUUGGCUGGGCACAGUGGCUCAUGCCUGGAUCCCCAGUAAUUUGGAACACUGAGGCAGGCAGAUUGCUUGAGGCCAGGAGUUCGAGACUAGCUUGGGCAACAUGCGAGAGCCCGUCUCUACAAAAAAAAAAAAAAAAUACAAAAAUUAUCCAGGCAUGGUGGUGCACACCUGUAGUCCCAGCUGUUGGGGAAAGCUAAGUUGGGAGGAUCCCUUGAACCCAGGAGGUUGAGGCUGCAGUAAGCUGUGAUUGAGCCACUGAGCUCCAGCCUGGGUGACAGAGCGAGAUCCUGUGUCAAAAAAUAAUUUUGAUUUCACGGAAGGAGAAGAGGACUAGUCUUAUACCAUAUCCCAAAUGAAAUUGAAAAUGUCUUCUGGGAAUCACAGCAAUGACUCAAACUUCUGAAUAGUGACUAGGUUUGAGCUGGUAAGGAAGGGAUUGUCAAAUGCCGUGACAGUCCACAGGAGGGCAGCAGUGCUCCGAUUUACAAAGGAUUAGUCAUACUAGUGUAACCUUUUCUGAGUGAGCCUAGAAAUUCUGAUGAAAACAGUGUAGUCCAGGAAAAAAAAAAAAAAAAUCUGUAUGUACAAUCACUCAAUUUUGAAUCAUUUCUGGAAGUUAUUAGACUCCAUGUUAAAUCCUACUUAAGUACAAGUAUGCAAAAUUUAAAAAUAUGCAGAAAAGCUCAUUCUUGGUUAAAAUGUUAGCUGAAAGACAUUACUAAGUUUUAGAAUACCAUAGAGUUGACUAUUUCCCACAAACCCUAAAAUCUACUUGAACACCACAAAUUCAUAUUCCUUCUAAUCCCAAGUCCCUUCAGCAUUCUUACAGAUUUAUUGUUAGUUACCUUACAAAGUAACUAACUGUCCCCAUGUAUUUUAUCCCAAUUUAAAAAAUACAUUACAGUCUCAAGGUCACAUAAGAUUUUCCAAAAUGCUCUAUUCAUAGUCAAUAUAAUUUUCAGGCCGGGUGCGGUGGCUCAUGCCUGUAAUCCCAGCACUUUGGGAGGCCAAGGUGGGCGGAUCACCUGAGGUUGGGAGUUCGAGACCAGCCUGACCAACAUGGAGAAACCCCGUCUCUACUAAAAAUACAAAAUUAGCCAGACGCGGUGGUGCAUGCCUGUAAUCCCAGCUACUCAGGAGGCUGAGUCAGGAGAAUCGCUUGAACCCAGAAGGUGGAAGCUGUGGUGAGCCGAGAUAGUGCCAUUGCACUCCAGCCUGGGCAACAAGAUCGAAACUCCAUCUCAAAAUAUGUGUGUGUGUGUGUGUGUGUGUGUGUGUGUGUGUGUAUAUAUAUAUAUAUAUAUAUACACACACACACAUAUAUAUAUAAUUUUCACCUAGUGUUUUAUUAAACAGAAUGCUUCUGUAUUUUUAUGUUUAUUUGAGACAAUGCUUCUGUAUUUCUAAACAACAGCUAGCCUUGUUCAGUUAGCCAAACAACAAAACCUUAAUUCAAGUCUUCAAUGAAAUUUUCUGAUUUAAUAGGCUGAAUUAAGAAAGCCAUAAUUUUCUUCUAUAAAUAUAAGCCUUUAACUUCUAUCUUUACAAGUUUAUAUAGAAAAAUUUACUGUGGGGCUUGAGAUUUACUAAUGCAUGGGUUUUCAACCUUAGCUGCACUUUGGAAUCAUUUAGGACGCUUGGAAAUCCCUACACCCAAACCACAUCCCAGAUCAAUUACACUAGAAAUCUCUAGGGGUGGGACCCAGGUGUCUGUAAAUAUCCCCCGGUGAUUGCAAUGUGCAGCCAUGGUUGAGAAACACUGAAGCCUGCUCUGAGAAAUUUAGCAAUCCGACUUAAUUCAAAUCUGCAGAGAGAGCAACAAUGAUUUUUGCAGAAACAACCAAAUCCUACUAGUUACAUAAAUUUUAUACUUUGUUAGGACUUGGGUUUUUAUUUAGCUCUACAUAUGCGAUCAUAGGAUGCAGAAGAUAUAUCUUCUACUGGACACGUAUAUAUAGAUGCUUAAAUGUGGCUAUCCCAAGGUUAGGUAAUAAUAAAGACUAUAAGAGCUGGGCAGAAAUCAGGCACAGUUUCAUGAAGGGUAAUAUCUGAGCUGGGCCUUGGAAGAUGCAUAGGAUCUCAACAGGACAGUAGGUGUUUCAAGCAACAAUGAACUAGGAAUACAGCAGAAAGCACAGGGGAAAUGGUCAGGCUUGACUGAGAGUAGGUUAUUUGAAGAAGUGCAAUAGAAAAUGCUUGGGGAAGAAAGUUGGGAUUUAAUUGUAAAAGGUCUUCAAGUAUCAGGCUAAGAAAUGUGGACUUCAUCCAGUAGGUAAUGUGAUGUCACUGGAUAUCUGUGCAGUAUCUAUGUGAUGGGUUGGGAGUGGAGAAGCCUGGGGAUACUUAAGGGUCUGAGCUAGGAGGGACAGGAGGAAUGGCUGUGGGAGUGGAAUGGUUAGAAGAUGGGCCCAAUUAGAAACAUACUUCAAUUUGAGACAAAACCCACUAGAAAUAAACACAUCAUCAUGAAACAUCUCCAAAUGUACAAU
rnacentral:lncRNA from 1 species